rnacentral:rRNA from 1 species
CCUACGGGGGGCAGCAGUGAGGAAUAUUGGUCAAUGGGCGGAAGCCUGAACCAGCCAAGUCGCGUGAGGGAGUAAGGCCCUACGGGUCGUAAACCUCUUUUGCCGGGGAGCAGUGCCCAGCUCGUGAGCUGGGAGGGAGCGUACCCGGAGAAAAAGCAUCGGCUAACUCCGUGCCAGCAGCCGCGGUAAUACGGAGGAUGCGAGCGUUAUCCGGAUUCAUUGGGCUUAAAGGGAGCGUAGGCGGGCGUUCAAGUCAGCUGUAAAAUCGCGCGGCUCAACCGCGCCCCGCAGUUGAAACUGGACGCCUUGAGUUCACAACAGGCAGGCGGAAUUCGUGGUGUAGCGGUGAAAUGCAUAGAUAUCACGAGGAACCCCGAUUGCGAAGGCAGCCUGCCGGGGUGCGACUGACGCUGAGGCUCGAAGGUGCGGGUAUCAAACAGGAUUAGAUACCCGGGUAGUC